rnacentral:misc_RNA from 1 species
UCCAGCUUAUCACCGGCAGUCUCCUUAGAGUUCCCAGCAUUACCUGAUGGCAACUAAGGACGAGGGUUGCGCUCGUUGCGGGACUUAACCCAACACCUCACGGCACGAGCUGACGACAGCCAUGCAGCACCUGUUCACCGGCCCCCGAAGGGGAAACGACCUUUCAGCCGCUGUCCGGUGUAUGUCAAACCCAGGUAAGGUUCUUCGCGUUGCCUCGAAUUGAACCACAUACUCCACCGCUUGUGCGGGCCCCCGUCAAUUCUUUUGAGUUUCAACCUUGCGAUCGUACUCCCCAGGCGGGGCACUUAAUGCGUUAGCUGCGGCACUGAGGGGGUCGAUACCCUCAACACCUAGUGCCCAUAGUUUACAGCCAGGACUAC